rnacentral:rRNA from 1 species
CGUAGGUGGCAAGCGUUGUCCGGAAUUAUUGGGCGUAAAGCGCGCGCAGGCGGUCCUUUAAGUCUGAUGUGAAAGCCCACGGCUCAACCGUGGAGGGUCAUUGGAAACUGGGGGACCUGAGUACAGAAGAGAAGAGUGGAAUUCCACGUGUAGCGGUGAAAUGCGUAGAGAUGUGGAGGAACACCAGUGGCGAAGGCGACUCUUUGGUCUGUAACUGACGCUGAGGCGCGAAAGCGUGGGGAGCAAACAGGAUUAGAUACCCUGGUAGUCCACGCUGUAAACGAUGAGUGCUAAGUGUUAGAGGGUUUCCGCCCUUUAGUGCUGCAGCUAACGCAUUAAGCACUCCGCCUGGGGAGUACGGCCGCAAGGCUG